AAAAUGGCGGCGGAGAGGUGAUCGCGGAGUUGUUGUGUUUUAUCCGUAUGUGUAGUUAUUUCGCUGGGUCGCGUUCAGUCGUGAGGUCAUGCCUUGACAUAAAACCUGAAAAGAAGAGGCAGAGAGCAUCCUUCAAGUGCUAUUUCCGCUCACAUAUGUGAUAACGAUUCGACCCGAUCAGGAUACGUUUCUGCGAAGACAGGCGUGUGCUGUGGAAGAAGCCGUCCUCAAAGCAGCCCAUGUAAUCUACUGCGCGCCGUAUCGCGUGAAAAUGGCAACAGUAUAUUUAUCAGCCUGAUUCUUCAGACCAGCAAUCUCAAAAGUCCACCGGAAAACGUAUUCAUGCACAUGCAGAGCGUGAGGAAGGCGUACACACGUUAUUGCUGGGUUAUUGUUGAUACACAAGAUAGGCAUCAACAAUGUUGUCGUUUUGGACUCUCCUCUACGGAUGUGGAGCAACGGUGGGGUAAAUGUCCAAGACUAAUAUUAUUAAACCGGCAAAGGGAAUAGUCUUGUGCAAUAUCAACCAAGCUCUGGCUGUUCAAUUCGACAACAGGCAACUUGAAGACAUUCAACAUGAUUUCAUCAAAGCAUCUCCGUGCUGCGCUCUAUAUAGCUUUGCUCAAGAAAAAUGCUUUAAUCCAACCAUGCGUCAGCUAACCAGAGGACCACCCACACGAACGAUAUACUGACAGUGCAAAUAGUGAAGCCUUAAUCAAUAACAUAUUAUGUGACUUCCUAUCUAGUGUUGUUAACAGUUUUCUAUCAAGUAGCAUUUUACGACAUUGGUCAUUUUAAAAUUUAUAAAUGCUCACUACAAGAGGCAGCAACCUCUGUCUGUUAUGUUUAUGAGAGUAACGUUGCCAUUCCCCUUGAACCCAAUGCAAUCUGCAAUGGCAAAGGAACAACAACAAUAACAAAUAAAUCAUGACUAUGACCUGGGGUGAUUCACCACUGGAGAGCAGUACACUACCCAAUUACACGCCAAAGGAACGUUCCUUCUCGAUGUCAAGUCACAAUAUCUGUUUCUUUAUUCAAAGGUUGAAGCGCGGCUAUAGUUGUUAAAAGGAUGACCAAUACAUUACUGAAAUGACCAGAAGGUUAUGCUAUGUGUACUUCUCUCACAUUCUCCCUCACGUGUCAUCAUUUCAUGUGUCACAGGUACUGUGUGAAUACAAUACCGAAAAACAUUUUUUAGCUCUUAUACAAACAUUGUUUGUGUUUGAGGUGUGAGAAUUAGCCCAGUGCAAUAUUUUAGAUUAUUUAUUCAGUUCACCAGUGUACCAGGGCUUCUUACAGUUAUUAUGAGAAGUGCAAUAUUUUGUUGUAUCCUGCUUUGCAAAUAAAUUCGGAAUAUUUUAGCAGCUCUUUAUACUGUGCAAAAAGAAAAACUCUGUGGCUUCUUGUGACUUAUGAAGAAAGCAUAAAAACUGUUUUGCAGUGUUUAUUUGUAUUUUUGUUUGUUUUUGUUAGAGCACUAUCUACACAUAUGCACAUCUUACGAACGCCAGCAGGAAUGCUAAAUGACACACAGACGAUAGACGAUCUUUGUAGAAGUACAAAGAGCAAGAGAAUGGGUUUAUUUGCAAAUAAGCUAUAGUUUUUGCAGUACGUGAGUACGGGGAAUGUCUUCAUUUUAGCUCCUGACGAGCGCAAAAAAGCUUCCGCUGCAACAUAGACCGUCUACUUAAACUUUUAAUAACUUAGUUGUAAAUAAACAACCCAUUCUCUUACGAUUUGUACCUUGUGCUGAUCGAUUCACGUGCGAAUAAACAUUCCGUUAGAUGUUCCGUUGAAACAGUCAGCACUUCCAACGAGUCACCAAAUAUUAUUUACGUCGUUGCCUGUGUACCGGUGUCCAACGCGUGUUACCCAUUACGGCUUCUCGAAUUCAGCAUUAUGUACUCGAUACACGGUGAUUUUCAAAUUUAUUUUACUUCACAAAAUAGUAUAGAUUAUCAUAGCUAUGUGGAACUUUUCUACGAACUUUGUGUUUCCUCUCAUAUCAACCUCUGUGAAGUAGGGUUGGGUCCUUUGGCUACCAGGGGUAAACAUCCCAUGUCAUCAUAACUUCUGUAUCAUUUAUUGUUGUUGUUGUACAUGCUUCCGAAUUUCGAGAUAUAUAGAGAAACUCUUUCAUUAAAUGGAAUACAUUAAUCAUA